UACGUAGGGCGCAAGCGUUAUCCGGAAUUAUUGGGCGUAAAGAGCUCGUAGGCGGUUUGUCGCGUCUGCUGUGAAAACCCGAGGCUCAACCUCGGGCCUGCAGUGGGUACGGGGCAGACUAGAGUGCGGUAGGGGGAGAUUGGAAUUCCUGGUGUAGCGGUGGAAUGCGUAGAGAUCGGGAGGAACACCAGAGGCGAAAGCGGCGACCUGGACAGGCACUGACACUCAACUACGAAAGCGUGGGGAGCAAACAGG
rnacentral:rRNA from 1 species